rnacentral:rRNA from 1 species
CCUACGGGCGGCAGCAGUGGGGAAUAUUGGACAAUGGGGGGAACCCUGAUCCAGCCAUGCCGCGUGUGUGAAGAAGGCCCUCGGGUUGUAAAGCACUUUCAGUGAGGAAGAACGCCUGGUGGUUAAUACCCAUCAGGAAAGACAUCACUCACAGAAGAAGCACCGGCUAACUCCGUGCCAGCAGCCGCGGUAAUACGGAGGGUGCGAGCGUUAAUCGGAAUUACUGGGCGUAAAGCGCGCGUAGGUGGCUUGAUAAGCCGGUUGUGAAAGCCCCGGGCUCAACCUGGGAACGGCAUCCGGAACUGUCAAGCUAGAGUGCAGGAGAGGAAGGUAGAAUUCCCGGUGUAGCGGUGAAAUGCGUAGAGCUCGGGAGGAAUACCAGUGGCGAAGGCGGCCUUCUGGACUGACACUGACACUGAGGUGCGAAAGCGUGGGUAGCAAACAGGAUUAGAUACCCUAGUAGUC